rnacentral:tRNA from 1 species
GAUUUUGUAGUUGAAUGCAACGGCGGUUUUUCAAGUCGCAGGUCCUGGUUAAAGUCCUGGCAAAAUUA